GCUUGCUUCAGCAGCCAUAUACUAACAUUGGAACGGUACAGACAAGAUGGGCAUGGCUCCUGCACAAGGAUGACAAUAGCCGAUGGAACAAUCCUGAGCUCAUU